GGGAUCGGGUGCUUGCGUUGCAAGCGCGCAUGUUAGCCAUUAAAUCAAAACAGUACAGUAUGUGGUUGUAAUUUCAAUCUUUUUUGCACGGUGACGAAUUAAUUAUAAAAUCAUGGAGAUCUGUCGACAGGUUGAAAUUAACACUGAGCCAAGCCUCCCCCUUUCAUCACUACGUCUUCUUGUGCCCCCCUUGAGGCUGCUGUCUGCUGCCAUGUGGAAAGUGGCUAAACAGAAAGAUGUGAUGAGUUAUGAGAAACUUCAAGAGUUUGUCUUUAUGGUGACAGAGACCAUCCCGGGGCUGAUAACCUGCAAACAGAGGGCUCAGCUCAUUCUCGGUCUGAGAGCGAGGCUCAUUUUGGAAUUAUGUAAAGGUUCCAUUCGUGGUACCAUUGACCCUCAUGCGAUCCAAAGCCACCUGGAAAGGCUGCCAAUAAGUUCUGCAGAUAGUGAUGUAAGCAAUGGGCAGGCUUUUUUUUUUUUCAUAUUGAGAGUUUUAUUGUUUAUUUUUACAAUUAUACAAAACACACAUUUGACAAGGAACUAACUGAUGAAGGCUCUUGGAUGAGAGGCGAAACGUCUUCACGGAUAUAUACCAAGUCCAGUUGCACUUGAUUCAAUUCCUUUGGAUAACCAUGACCUGGAUGAAUGAGAACAUUCACAGACACGACAAGGAACUAAAAAAAAACACUACAAAACAAAAUAACAAAACAGAAAUAAAGAUAAUGGGGGGGUGACACCCAGAACCUGCA